GCCCGCCUAGCUCAAUCGGAUAGAGCGUCAGACUCUUACUAGUGGGUGAUCUGAAGGCUGCGAGUUCGACCCUCGCGGUGGGCU